UUAAAAACUUUGAUAAGGAUCCAGUAAGCCUAAAAGGCUGAAUUACACCUUUGAGUUUCGGACUGAAUUUUUAGUAAGUCUUGACGUUAUCCCACGUUAGAGGGUGAGGAAGUUAUUGCUUCCAAGAGAGUGAAUCUGUUUUGCAGAUUAAUUCAGGUGGUACCGCGAAAUUAAGUCGUCCUGUUU
rnacentral:ncRNA from 1 species